UUGAUCAAUAAUCUCGCUAUCACGUGCUU
rnacentral:piRNA from 1 species